GAUGAAGAACGUAGUGAAAUGCGAUAAGUAAUGUGAAUUGCAGAAUUCAGUGAAUCAUCGAAUCUUUGAACGCACCUUGCACCCUUUGGCAUUCCGAAGGGUAUGCUCGUUUGAGUGUCAUUGUACUCUCACACUUCUGAUCCUUUGGAUUGGGAGCGGUGGACUUGGGUGUUGCUGCUUUACUGUGGCUCACCUCAAAUGCAUUCGUGCAACUCUUGGUUGGACAUAGUACGGCGUGAUAAGUAUCUUCGCCGGCACCUCGCAAGAGGGUGGCUGAUCAGGAGCUCUGUGCUUUCCAACUGUCUUCAGGCAACAACUGACAACUUGACCUCAAAUCGAGUAGGACCACCCGCUGAACUUAAGCAUAUCAAUAAGCGGAGGA
rnacentral:misc_RNA from 1 species